rnacentral:rRNA from 1 species
UACGUAGGGCGCAAGCGUUAUCCGGAAUUAUUGGGCGUAAAGCGCGUGUAGGCGGCUCGGUAAGUCUGCUGUGAAAGUCCAGGGCUCAACCCUGGGAUGCCGGUGGAUACUGUCGAGCUCGAGUCCGGAAGAGGCGAGUGGAAUUCCUGGUGUAGCGGUGAAAUGCGCAGAUAUCAGGAAGAACACCCGUGGCGAAGGCGGCUCUCUGGGACGGUACUGACGCUGAGACGCGAAAGCGUGGGGAGCGAACAGG